UGGUUAAUAUAACAUCGACGCCUUUAUAGAGAUCGAGACGGUAAUACUUUAUUAUUUAACUCAAAAUAUAACUCAGCCGUUAAUAUUAACGGGACGGCUAAGUGUGGAAAAUAUGGUUCAGAAUUAAUAUCGAGGCCUUUAUAACAUCGAGACGAUAAUACUUUAGUAUUUAAAAACUGAUUUAACAAUGGGACGUUUCGUCUUUCUUGAUUUGACCGUG
rnacentral:lncRNA from 1 species